AUACUCUGGUUUCCCUUCAAAACGCAUAAAUCUUUCGCCGUUUACUAAAGAUUUCCGUGGAGGGGAACAACUCAUUGUAAAAAUGCCUGCGCUCUGACUGCUUGCUAGAGC